rnacentral:misc_RNA from 1 species
CAGAGUUGCAAGACUCCCUAAACCAUUGUGAACCUACCUUCUACCGUUGCUUCGGCGGGCGGGCCCAGCGCCCCCCCGGUCCCCCGCGGGCGCCCGCCGGAGGAUACCCAAACUCUUUGACAUUAGUGGCCUCUCUGAGUAUUCUUUACUGAAUAAGUCA